rnacentral:rRNA from 2 species
AACAGCUCAAAUUUGAAAUCUGGCCCUAGGCCCGAGUUGUAAUUUGCAGAGGAUGCUUUUGGUGCGGUGCCUUCCAAGUUCCCUAGAACGGGACGCCAGAGAGGGUGAGAGCCCCGUACAGUUGGACACCAAGCCUUUGUAAAGCUCCUUCGACGAGUCGAGUAGUUUGGGAAUGCUGCUCAAAAUGGGAGGUAUAUUUCUUCUAAAGCUAAAUACCGGCCAGAGACCGAUAGCGCACAAGUAGAGUGAUCGAAAGAUGAAAAGCACUUUGAAAAGAGGGUUAAACAGCACGUGAAAUUGUUAAAAGGGAAGCGCUUGUGACCAGACUUGCGUCCGGUGAAUCACCCAGCUCUCGCGGCUGGGGCACUUCGCCGGCUCAGGCCAGCAUCAGCUCGCUGUCGGGGACAAAAGCUUCAGGAACGUAGCUCUCUUCGGGGAGUGUUAUAGCCUGUUGCACAAUACCCUUCGGCGGGCUGAGGUACGCGCUCCGCAAGGAUGCUGGCAUAAUGGUCAUCAGCGACCCGUCUUGAAACACGGACCAAGGAGUCAACCUUAUGUGCGAGUGUUCGGGUGUCAAACCCCUACGCGUAAUGAAAGUGAACGCAGGUGAGAGCUUCGGCGCAUCAUCGACCGAUCCUGAUGUUCUCGGAUGGAUUUGAGUAAGAGCCAUAUAGGGUUGGACCCGAAAGAAGGUGAACUAUGCGUGUAUAGGGUGAAGCCAGAGGAAACUCUGGUGGAGGCUCGCAGCGGUUCUGACGUGCAAAUCGAUCGUCAAAUAUGCGCAUGGGGGCGAAAGACUAAUCGAACCUUCUAGUAGCUGGUUUCCGCCGAAGUUUCCCUCAGGAUAGCCAGUGUUGAACUCAGUUUUAUGAGGUAAAGCGAAUGAUUAGGGACUCGGGGGCGCUAUAUUGCCUUCAUCCAUUCUCAAACUUUAAAUAUGUAAGAAGCCCUUGUUGCUUAAUUGAACGUGGGCAUUCGAAUGUAUCAACACUAGUGGGCCAUUUUUGGUAAGCAGAACUGGCGAUGCGGGAUGAACCGAACGCGAGGUUAAGGUGCCAGAGUAGACGCUCAUCAGACACCACAAAAGGUGUUAGUACAUCUUGACAGCAGGACGGUGGCCAUGGAAGUCGGAAUCCGCUAAGGA